UUUCCUGUGGCUCUGUUGGUUGAGCAAUGGACUUGCAGCACAGAGAUCACGGGUUCAAACCCCGUAGAAAG